GAUGAACGCUGGCGGCGUGCCUAAUACAUGCAAGUCGAGCGAACGGACGAGAAGCUUGCUUCUCUGAUGUUAUCGGCGGACGGGUGAGUAACACGUGGAUAACCUACCUAUAAGACUGGGAUAACUUCGGGAAACCGUAUCUAAUACCGGAUAAUAUUUUGAACCUCAUGGUUCAAAAGUGAAAGACGGUCUUGCUGUCACUUAUAGAUGGAUCCGCGCUGCAUUAGCUAGUUGGUAAGGUAACGGCUUACCAAGGCAACGAUGCAUAGCCGACCUGAGAGGGUGGUCGGCCACACUGGAAGUGAGACACGGUCCAGACACCUACGGGAGGCAGCAGUAGGGAAUCUUCCGCGAUGGGCGAAAGCCUAACGGAGCAACGCCGCGUGAGUGAUGAAGGUCUUCGGAUCGUAAAGCUCUGUUAUUAGGGAAGAACAUAUGUGUAAGUAACUGUGCACAUCUUGACGGUACCGAAACAGAAAGCCACGGCUAACUACGUG
rnacentral:rRNA from 1 species